CUCUGUCUUCUGUAAAAUCCCCUAGAGCAUUGUAGAUCCUCACAAUGGACUGGACCUGGGGAAUCCUCUUCUUGAUGGCAGCUGUAAAAAGUGCCCAAGGCGAGGUCCAGCUGGUGCAGUCUGGGGCUGAGCUGAGGAGGCCCGGUACCUCAGUGAAGGUCUCCUGCAAGGCUUCUGGCUACACCUUUAUAGAUUACUACAUGAACUGGGUGCGACAGAUUCCUGGACAGGGGCUGGAGUGGAUCGGAAGCAUCAAUCCAGAGAAUGGCAAUACUAAUUAUGCUCAGAAGUUCCAGGGCAGGACCACCUUCACUGCUGACACAUCCUCCAACACAGCCUACAUGCAGCUGAGUGGCUUAAAGUCUGAAGACUCAGCAGUGUAUUACUGUGCAAGGCACAGUGUGGUGACCCACAUCCUGCUUGUGUCAGAAACUCCGAGGGAGGAACAGCAGACAGGACGAUAUGACAGAGAUGAGGAGACUGAGUGUGCUUAG